GUUACGUGUCCGUUGCCGUGUUGGGAGAUCAGGACAAACCAACUCUUAUCACUUAUCCUGAUUUAGCUUUAAAUCUACCAGGCCAAAACUCGAAGGAAGUGUUGCAGAUGGAGAAGCAGCUAUUUUGAAGAAGGCCUCGAGAGUUUUCUGGGAAAGAAAAUGGGAUUGGGCGGGAGUUUUCAGGAAGAUUUUGGAUAUCUCUGGGAGGUGGGCUUGGGUUUGUUUUGGAAGAGGUGUGUGCCGAGAUUGUGAUCGAGUUUAGGAGACAGGCUUUGGGAGCAAAAGAGGUUAUUUCCUGGAGGCCUACCGCCUAGUGAGGAAGGGUGAUCUCUUCAUUGUGAGAGUUGGAAUGAGGAGUGUCGAGUUCAAGGUUAUUGAGACUGAUCAUUCUCAGUACUGUGUUGUAGCUCCAGACAUUGAAAUAUUUCCAAUAGGGUUUACUAAAGUGGCUACAGAUAAGAAUUCUAAAGCUGGAUCAAAUGUCUAGGCUAGCCUUUGUCGGUU